UAUUCGCUGAUGAAGCUUCGGCAGAAUCUUGAAUAACUUAGUGGCGGACGGGUGAGUAACGCGUGGGUAACCUGCCUCAUACAGGGGGAUAGCAGUUGGAAACGACUGAUAACACCGCAUAAGCGCACAGUGUCGCAUGACACAGUGUGAAAAUAUUUAUAGGUAUGAGAUGGACCCGCGUCUGAUUAGCUAGUUGGUGAGGUAACGGCCCACCAAGGCGACGAUCAGUAGCCGGCCUGAGAGGGCGGACGGCCACAUUGGGACUGAGACACGGCCCAAACUCCUACGGGAGGCAGCAGUGGGGGAUAUUGCACAAUGGGCGAAAGCCUGAUGCAGCGACGCCGCGUGAGUGAAGAGGUAUUUCGGUAUGUAAAGCUCUAUCAGCAGGGAAGAAAGACCUCGUAAGAGGGGAUGACGGUACCUGAGUAAGAAGCCCCGGCUAACUACGUGCCAGCAGCCGCGGUAAUACGUAGGGGGCAAGCGUUAUCCGGAUUUACUGGGUGUAAAGGGAGCGUAGACGGUGUAUCAAGUCUGAAGUGAAACCCCACGGCUCAACCGUGGGCUUGCUUUGGAAACUGGUAGACUAGAGUACUGGAGAGGUAAGCGGAAUUCCUGGUGUAGUAGUGAAAUGCGUAGAUAUCAGGAAGAACAUCAGUGGCGAAGGCGGCUUACUGGACAGCGACUGACGUUGAGGCUC
rnacentral:rRNA from 1 species